AACUGAUGAAAAUCCAGAAGGAAAAACAUGUGUGUUCAUCAGCUAUGCAAAAUGUCGUGUGGCUCUGAAACUGGAUCUUAAUGACUAUUUAAUCUGGGGCCUCAGAAGUGAUUUGUGGGCCUUGACAGCCAAUAUCUCCUAUGUCAUUGGCAAAGACACGUGGAUUGAGAAGUGGCCAAGUGAGCACAAAAGCCAGGAGGCAGAUUUCAAGAACCUGUGCAUAGAAUAUCUGGAGUUCUCCCAAGCCAUCAUGAUAUUCAGCUGCCCACAGUCAACACAGAAAUGGCCAUCGCAGUGGCCUGAACGGGAUAGUUUGAGCUGAGCUGGAGCAUAAUGCUCAGGCCAAAACACAUUCACUGAGCUGGCAGUGGCCAAUGGGAAUUAUUUGGACAGAGUCCAGGUGCAGUCAGUGUGUUAGGUGUACCUGCACUAAAUGGUGGAGGCAGUAGUUGGGCCUGCUGAGUAAAGG